rnacentral:lncRNA from 1 species
GGAAAACAUCUCCAGAGAAGCAAAGCAAAGGCGCCACUAAAUCCCAGAGAGGUUCCCGUCCCUCCAUCACAUGUAUUUCUUAGUGGUGUGACCUCAUUACUCCAAUUGCUUCCUUUGACUUAGAAACAGUAUUGUCACAAUUGUACACAAGACAGAGCUUUUUCAGUGUUGGUCCCUAGUUUGACGAACUUUCUUUCAGUGUUGGCCUAUUAGACUCCAUCAUGCUGGGGACUCAUGUGAUAAGUAAUGAAGGCUUUUUUCAAAAGAUGUUGAGGAUGGCAGAAAAAUCCUUGCUCUGAACCACAGGGUUCCUGCUUUAUGGAGGUAAAGACCUAAAUGUGAAUGUGUAUGAACUGAACACCUGCUAAAAUGCCAGAAUCUGCAAAUGCUUUUCAUUAUUGGAUUAGGAUUUGAAAUGGUUUGGGAUGUCAUGCAUAGCCCACCUAUUCUGGAGUUGUUCCAUGACAGCCCAUGGCACUACUUUAAGAAAGUGAACGUCCUUCACUGCUUUCAUUUCCUGACUAAAUACUACCACAGACGUGAUGGGAAAUACAGUUAUGUGAGCGAGCAAGACAAACGCACAAGUGUUCACUCAGCAGCAGCAAGAGUGAAGCGACCCACAGGCAUGGAGAUCUCACUAUCCUGACAGCGCCCUUCCAAAAGUUCAAAUACCUUGAAGACUUCAGAACAAGGACUUGUGAAGAAUUCUUCCUUCAGCCUCUGGAGGUAGUCUGGCAGGAUUUAUGGGAGAAGGGAUUGUUCCCUUCGGGCUUGCACUAACAGAAGCUGCUUCCAAGGCCACAAUUACAGUGCUGGAUUUGGCUCACUGUGCCUUACCCCAGGUGAUUUUUUGGCAAAGACAAGGCCUAGAACCCCUUGCCAAGAAAGGCUAUAUGGGCUUCCACUGUUGUCAUUCUGCCAGCAAGCAAUGACAUUCUUAUUCAUACCAACUUAGACUGGUCUUCUGUUCAAAGUCUGGACUGGCUGAGAGUGGACGUUGAUUUCCAAGGUUGUGUUUUAAAAUGUCGGUGUAUUUGGGCCCAGAAAAAGACAGGAUUUUAGGGUGAAACUUAGUAUAUAGCUGAUUCAGUGCUCACCGUAAUCCUCUUGAAGACAUCCAAGGUCCUGAUGACAUUCUUAUUCAUACCAACUUAGACUGGUCUUCUGUUCAAAGUCUGGACUGGCUGAGAGUGGACGUUGAUUUCCAAGGUUGUGUUUUAAAAUGUCGGUGUAUUUGGGCCCAGAAAAAGACAGGAUUUUAGGGUGAAACUUAGUAUAUAGCUGAUUCAGUGCUCACCGGAAUCCUCUUGAAGACAUCCAAGGUCCUGACGAUGAAGAAAUCUCUGAUCCAUGGGGGAAGGAAGGAUGUUUAGCUAGUAGUUUUUUGUGGAGUUUUUUUUUUUGUCUUUUUGUCUCAUUAAUUAUAUGUUAGAUUGUUAAUGUGUUUAAGUUUGUAUAUUAUAAUUUUAAAUGUUGUUUAAAAGUUUAAAAAUGUUGGUGUAUCUAGCUCUUGAUCUAGAUCAAUAAUGUCAUGUUUUAAAUCCUCAUCUGGGUGGAGAAGACAGCAUGAAUUAUGGUUAUUCCAAAUGACAGUAGUGUUAGGUUUAGUGUGGGUGAUCAUGGAACAAAGGGAUGGCUAAUUGCCUUAAAGAGAAAACAAAGGAGUCGACAGCAAGUGUCCAAGCCAGCGGAGCCUACAGGCAACACCCCGAGGGCUAUUUUUAUUGGCUUAGCAUGAUUACAUAGUAUGUUAUGAGAGAAACAGAUAGGAUACUAGUUAUCUAAUCGUUACUAGGAUUGCCUAAAUUAACCCUUUGUUCUUCUGAUCUACCGCUAAGCGAAAGGGCAGAAGAAGGGGCCAUCCUGCCUGCUGGCAGCUGCCGCAUCUUGCCAGGAGUGUAUGCACGUCACUGGAACAGAAUGCAGCUACAACCUUUAGGCAGGAGUUUCCCACAGUUUAGAACUAGUGGACAGGUAACAUUACUCACCUUGUGUUUCCCAAAAUGUCCCAGAAGGCCACUAUUGCCCUCAAAUUGCACCAGUCUGCUGAUGAACAGAGUAAUCAUUUCCGCUUUUUGGUCUCAGGGCCUUGUUUAAAAAGGCACAGGACAUUUUAAUCACUUUGUAAAUCUAGUUCUGUGUGAAUUCUGCAACAAAACCUGACAAAAUCUAGGUUUCGUUUUAAAUCUGUAUUUCAUUACAGGCCUUCAACGCCUUUUUUAUGGGAAAAGCAAGAAAUAACUAAGAAAAUAAAUGCACAAAACAGAAUUGUUUAAAAGAAAUA